UCCUGCAGAGAAAGAUGGCUGCUUUGUAGUGUGGAGGGUAUGCUGAACUUUCACACUGCUUUUUCCCACGUGCUUGUAAAAACUGCUGCUUUAUAGUCCGUUCAUAAAACGGCAAUUUGGAAGAUAGUCCAAACGUCCAGAGUUAUUAGAAGAAAACUGAGCUAUGUGGACGCGACGCCCAAGACUCGCCUGCUCAGCAUUGUAAAACUUGCCCCGAGAAGGGUUAGGGAAGAUAAUAAGACUACAACUAUGACGUCUGAUCAAGCUGGGAGCUCAGGCCGAGAGAAAGGAGAAGUGACCGCCUGGAAUCUGUGAAGGCUUGAAGGCAAUCAAGAUAGCCACAGCACAAGAGAAGUCUUCAAUAUCAACAUUACUUGAAUAGAGAAUCCAAGGCAAUCCGAGAUCAUGUAGGGAUCUUUGUCAUCACCCAGGUUUAAAAUGGAACUUGAAGAGUCUUUCGUUUUCCGAACCACAAUAACCAUGUUAAAUAAAUCUGGGCCUAACUUUUAUAACUAUUAAGUGGGGCUUAAUGAGACCUAUACCAGUUUUAGUGCCAUCAACUGGAAUACAGGAAAUUCCUUCAAUUCUCAAUCCCUGCCAUUUUCUGUGAUUUCAUUCUAUUUUAAUCAGUACCUGUAAAGCAGUUUAGAAAGGUCUGCAUUAUGGUUUUUAAAAUUCUUGCCAAAUUUCACGAACUGCAAGUUAAAGUUCUCCUAAAAUGCAAUGUAUUAAAUUGCUUAUCUUCAAAGUUGUCUAUGAGGAGUUUGUAUCUGCAAAAUUGCAGCUGUCAAGAGGCUUGAAAUCCAUUGCUAAUAAUAAUUACAACAUUACAAUACCAUGGAAUUAAGGAAUGUUUGCUAGCAAGUAUUCUACAUGAUCCUGCAUACUUCUCCAUCUGGCAAGCUUUAUUGGACUCAGUACCUCCCAGUAUUUAAUUAGUUUUAAUGAAAUGGGAGGGGUUCUAUUUGGUAUUUUACAGUAUGCAGGGCCUGACUAACACUUGUGAAUUCAGCCCUUUUAAUAGGUUGUACUGGCUCAAUUUUUUGAAGCAUAAGAUGAGAUAGAGUUUAAGUAACUGGUGACAUAUUGUGAAUUUAAAGUAUCAGCC